UGUUGCGACACUCUUUGAUCUCGCCGCCACGCGAUCACGUGGUCCAUGUAGCUCUCGAUAGUUCCAAACAAAUUCGGCGCGCUCUGUUAACACCUGUUUGAAUGGUUUUCAGCGGGACAGACAGCAGCAGUGACUAUAUUUACAGGAAUGUUCGAUUGAUGUCUUACCAUGGUUGGCUGUUCAGCAUUUGGAUGCACCAAUCGGUCUGAGAAAGGGAUCCGGAUGUAUGGCUUCCCAAAAGAUACCGACAGGAGAAGAAAAUGGUUGGCCCAAGUCAGCAGAAGUAACCUGACCAUCACAAGAAAUUACAAUAACAGGAAACUGUGUGUGGCACAUUUUGAGGGAGAGCAAUUCACAAGAACAAAAAAAGGCCAACUGAAAUUGAAGGCCGAUGCUGUUCCAACCAUAUUUGUGCAUCGCCCUGAGCCCAAGAGGAGGAAGGGUCCUGCUGUGAGAACCACCCCAAAACCUCCAGUACAUGUUCAUGCAGUGGCCAGUGACCACACAUAUUGUCCCAUAAUGAACUUUGAUAUUGAGGGAAGAAGUGAGGGAAGAAAGGACAAGGAAGGUGAAGACUCCACCAGCCUCGCCAUUGCUCCUACAGAAAUGCCGAGAACAAACUUGGAAAAGUGUCUGCUGUGGAUAAAACUUUGUGGACGACCACACUCGCAGCUUAAUGUCAAUACCAUAAGCAGACACACAUAUAUUUGUUCGAAGCACUUUGUCAAUGAAAGACCGAACGAUACCUUUCCCAACCCCGGGGAUGCAAGGAAUAAGAUUGCCACACCAUGCAGACCUUCUUCGAGAAGACGGCAUUUAACUGUACCACUCACGGAUAUCACAGUGGAUGGGAUCAAGCAACUCAAAGAGGAACACAGAGAUCACCAAGAAACAAAAAGAUCAAUUAAAAAGGGCUAAAGGUGUUGGGCUACCUGUGGUUUUAAAAGAAAGCUCAAGAGGUCUUCAUCAAGGAUGAGCAUCAGGAGGAGCCGGCACUCUCAAGUGUUGCAGAUGCUCUAGAGGACGUCAGAGCUGUGGUAGCACAGCAGCAGGAAGAAAUCCAAGCUCUUCGAAAGCAACUGCAAGAGCAGCAGCAGCAGCAACAGCAGCUGCAACAGCAACUGCAACAACAGCCACUAAUAAUGAUCCUCCUAGUGUAAGCAUUGUAUUUAGUCCCUGGAUUUAUUACAUGUAUUACACAUUUGGCCAGUCUAACAUUCAGAUGUGUGCAACAGAUGUGCAAAGAGCAAAAAAGGACGAACACGGAGUGUAUGUAUGUGUGCCAUUGCAAAAAUCAAGAAGUCCAAGGUUCUUUCAAACUAAAUCCUAAAAGACAAAACUUAAGAACAUCAGUGAAAUUUGUUUUGUGGUGUGCAUGUUGUCAAAAUUCCAGCCCCACAUAAUUAAGCCUUGAUCAUAUUGCAUCUCGUGUGUACAUCUAGCCUGGUAGCUUAGACCACACCCCAUAUUGGGCUCCGUGUGUUUCCCACAGCAACCUCCUGGGUGGGUGAUUGAUGAGGUAACUUACUGGUGUAACAGACAUACUCCUCAAUGGCUCCAUGUCCUCCUCUGUCACUGGAUGUCCUUCCCUAGAGAGAAAGUAUUUAUUGAAAGCAUGUUUAGUGUAAUAUGCUGUGGGGUCUAGGGGUUUGAGUUAAGUACGGAGGAGGGGGAUACAAUUAAUACAAAUGUGAAUUAGAUGAGUUGGGCAUGGUUUAGGAGCAGUGGCACUAUGUUUUAACUCAUUUAGGCUUCAUUUUUGAGCAGAAAUGGUCAUGGUGUACUAUGGAACUGUUGACUACUGUGUUCUACUCAUGUACAACUCUAUACUGUAAAGACAUCCCACUAUUGUCUGUUAUGUUUCCAUGUUAAAUGAACGUGAAUAAACUUGGCUGAAGUCAGCACCUGUUGUAA